GGCAGGGGGGCGGCUACCAUGCAGUCGAGCGAGAACUUCGGUUCUAGCGGCGGACGGGUUAGUAACGCGUGGGAACGUGCCCUUCACUACGGAAUAGUCCCGGGAAACUGGGUUUAAUACCGUAUACGCCCUUCGGGGGAAAGAAUUUCGGUGAAGGAUCGGCCCGCGUUAGAUUAGAUAGUUGGUGGGGUAACGGCCUACCAAGUCUACGAUCUAUAGCUGGUUUUAGAGGAUGAUCAGCAACACUGGGACUGAGACACGGCCCAGACUCCUACGGGAGGCAGCAGUGGGGAAUCUUAGACAAUGGGCGCAAGCCUGAUCUAGCCAUGCCGCGUGAGUGAUGAAGGCCUUAGGGUCGUAAAGCUCUUUCGCCAGGGAUGAUAAUGACAGUACCUGGUAAAGAAACCCCGGCUAACUCCGUGCCAGCAGCCGCGGUAAUACGGAGGGGGUUAGCGUUGUUCGGAAUUACUGGGCGUAAAGCGCGCGUAGGCGGAUUGGAAAGUUGGGGGUGAAAUCCCAGGGCUCAACCCUGGAACUGCCUCCAAAACUAUCAGUCUAGAGUUCGAGAGAGGUGAGUGGAACUCCGAGUGUAGAGGUGAAAUUCGUAGAUAUUCGGAAGAACACCAGUGGCGAAGGCGGCUCACUGGCUCGAUACUGACGCUGAGGUGCGAAAGUGUGGGGAGCAAACAGGAUUAGAUACCCUGGUAGUC
rnacentral:rRNA from 1 species